UACGUAGGGGGCAAGCGUUGUCCGGAAUCAUUGGGCGUAAAGCGCGCGUAGGCGGCCCUGUAAGUCCGUUGUGAAAGUCAAAGGCUCAACCUUUGAAAGCCGAUGGAUACUGCAGGGCUAGAGUCCGGAAGAGGCGAGUGGAAUUCCUGGUGUAGCGGUGGAAUGCGCAGAGUAUCAGGAGGAACACCAAUAGCGAAGGCAGCUCGCUGGGACGGUAGCUGACGCUAAGGCGCGAAAGCGUGGGGAGCGAACAGG
rnacentral:rRNA from 1 species